rnacentral:rRNA from 1 species
CCUACGGGAGACAGCAGUGGGGAAUAUUGCACAAUGGGGGAAACCCUGAUGCAGCGACGCCGCGUGAGUGAAGAAGUAUUUCGGUAUGUAAAGCUCUAUCAGCAGGAACGAGACAAGACGGUACCUGACUAAGAAGCCCCGGCUAACUACGUGCCAGCAGCCGCGGUAAUCCGUAGGGGGCAAGCGUUAUCCGGAAUCACUGGGUGUAAGGGGAGCGUAGACGGCUGAGCAAGCCUGAAGUGAAAGGCGGGGGCCCAACCCCCGGACUGCUUUGGGAACUGUACGGCUGGAGUGCAGGAGAGGUAAGUGGAAUUCCUAGUGUAGCGGUGAAAUGCGUAGAUAUUAGGAGGAACACCAGUGGCGAAGGCGGCUUACUGGACUGUAACUGACGUUGAGGCUCGAAAGCGUGGGGAGCAAACAGGAUUAGAUACCCUAGUAGUC